GAUGGCUCAGUGGCAGAGCACUUGCCUUGCAUGCAUGAGGCCCUGGGUUCGAUUCCUCAGCAUCA
rnacentral:tRNA from 1 species